ACCCCUGGGAACUGGGACUAAUCCCUGAUAAGUCUCCGUAGCUGGAAUGCUCGGAGACGGAAAGCUCCGGCGCCACAGGAUGGGUCUGCGGCCUAUCAGGGUAGUAGUGGGUGUAGAGUACCUACUAGCCUACGACGGGUACGGGUUGUGAGAGCAAGAGCCCGGAGAUGGAUUCUGAGACACGAAUCCAGGCCCUACGGGGUGCAGCAGGCGCGAAAACUUUACAAUGCGGGACACCGCGAUAAGGGGACCUCGAGUGCUGGCAUACAAUGCUGGCUGUCCAGCUGCCUAAAUAGCAGUUGAUAGCAAGGGCCGGGCAAGACCGGUGCCAGCCGCCGCGGUAACACCGGCGGCUCGAGUGGUAACCGUUAUUAUUGGGUCUAAAGGGUCUGUAGCCGGCCGGAUAAGUCUCUUGAGAAAUCUGGCAACUUAACUGUCAGGCUUUCAGGAGAUACUGUCUGGCUCGAGGCCGGGAGAGGUGAGAGGUACUUCAGGGGUAGGGGUGAAAUCUUGUAAUCCUUGAAGGACCACCAGUGGCGAAGGCGUCUAACUGGAACGAACCUGACGGUGAGUAACGAAAGCCAGGGGCGCGAACCGGAUUAGAUACCCGGGUAGUCCUGGCCGUAAACGAUGUGGACUUGGUGUUGGGAUGGCCUCGAGCUGCCCCAGUGCCGAAGGGAAGCUGUUAAGUCCACCGCCUGGGAAGUACGGUCGCAA
rnacentral:rRNA from 1 species